rnacentral:tRNA from 1 species
CCCUGGUUAGCCCAGUUAAUAGAGCACUUCACUGGAAAUGGAGAGGUCCCGGGUUCGAUACCCGGACUAGGCG